GGGUUUAAAGGGGGGAAAAGAAUCCGCUUCCUUUAUGGAUGUUGGAUUUAAAAACUUUCCUACGUCCACCUCAUGUAUGAGGUGAAAGUGCUCCGUAAUUUUAUCCUUUGAGAGGAGUCGGAUUAAAGGGGUUUCCCGAGGAAGAGCCGCGAGGAGAGGAGGAGGGGAGGUGGAAUUUGCUGGAAAAUGGUCUAGAGGAGGAAGCGGCGGGUCGGCACGGAGCGAGGGCAGUGCGGCCGAGGCGGGGCCGGGGCCGGGGAGGGCGCGAGCCGGGCGCGCGCCGCGUCCGUUGGUCAUGGCGCUGUGCGGCACCAGCACGGCGGUGGCGGCGGCGGCGGGCCAGCAGCGCCAGAGCGUCGCCAAGCUGAUGGCUUAUAACGGCGCCGGGGCCGCCCACCACCAUCAUCACCACCAUCACCACCACCAUCACAACAACCACCACCACCAUCACCACAACAACCAGCAGCAGCAGCCGCCGCCGCCUCCUCAGUCGCAUUCCCACCACCAUCUACAUCCCGGAGCCGCCGGUGGUGUUGCCGGCGGCGCCGGUGGAGGAGGAGGCGGCAUCGGUACAGCGGUACACCCGGUCCAGCAUCAUCACCACCCGGCCUCCGGCGCCGCCGCCGCCUCGUCGUCGUCGUCCUCUUCUUCCUCGUCGGCUGCCGCCGCCGCUGCUGCUGCUGCCGCGGCGGCGGCGGCGGCAGCCGCGAUGCUGAACCCGGCUCAAGCGCCGUAUUUCCCGUCCCCGGCGCCCGCCGCCGCCGCCGCCACGGUGCAAAUUCACGCCGCCGCCGCCGCCGCCAAGGCACAUCAGCUGGACAUCGAGCCCGACAGACCCAUCGGAUAUGGAGCCUUCGGAGUAGUCUGGUCAGUGACGGAUCCUAGAGAUGGAAAAAGAGUCGCACUCAAAAAGAUGCCCAACGUCUUCCAGAAUCUAGUUUCCUGCAAGAGGGUCUUCCGUGAGUUGAAGAUGCUCUGCUUCUUCAAGCAUGAUAAUGUGCUCUCUGCACUUGAUAUACUCCAACCUCCACACAUUGACUACUUUGAAGAAAUCUAUGUUGUCACAGAGCUAAUGCAAAGCGACCUACACAAGAUCAUUGUGUCUCCACAACCAUUGAGUUCUGAUCAUGUCAAAGUUUUUCUCUACCAGAUUUUGAGAGGUCUGAAGUAUCUGCAUUCAGCUGGUAUAUUACACCGGGACAUUAAACCAGGAAAUCUUCUUGUGAACAGCAACUGUGUCCUCAAGAUCUGUGACUUUGGCCUUGCCAGAGUAGAAGAACUUGAUGAGUCUCGUCAUAUGACCCAGGAAGUUGUCACUCAGUAUUACCGAGCGCCAGAGAUCCUGAUGGGCAGUCGCCAUUACACUAAUGCCAUUGAUAUCUGGUCUGUAGGAUGCAUCUUUGCAGAACUCUUAGGUCGUAGAAUCUUAUUUCAGGCUCAAAGUCCCAUUCAACAGCUGAAAAUAAAUCACGCUCCUUGGUUCAUCUUCUGGAUUUUGUACCAUGGAUCAAAAUACAAUUCAGUCCUUUUUCCAAAAGCUCUCCAUUCUUUGGACUUAAUCACAGAUCUGUUGGGAACUCCAUCAUUAGAAGCCAUGCGAACAGCUUGUGAGGGUGCCAAGGCUCACAUACUCAGGGGUCCUCAUAAACAGCCAUCACUUCCUGUCCUUUAUACGCUAUCCAGCCAGGCUACCCAUGAAGCUGUCCACCUCCUCUGCAGGAUGUUAGUCUUUGAUCCUUCAAAAAGAAUCUCUGCAAAGGAUGCCCUGGCACAUCCAUAUUUGGAUGAAGGACGGCUUAGAUACCACACUUGUAUGUGCAAGUGCUGUUAUACCACCUCUACGGGGCGUGUUUACACCAAUGAUUUUGAGCCCAUCACCAAUCCCAAAUUUGAUGACAGCUUCGAAAAAAAUUUGACAUCUGUUCGGCAGGUUAAAGAGCUCAUUCAUCAAUUCAUUUUGGAACAGCAGAAAGGAAAUCGGGUUCCAUUAUGUAUCAAUCCACAGUCUGCUGCAUUUAAAAGCUUUAUCAGCUCCACAGUAGCUCAGCCCUCUGAGAUGCCCCCAUCUCCACUGGUAUGGGAGUAAGUGGAAGAAACUACUGAUGACAAAUAUUUUAGGUUCUCACUGGAGUCUAAAACUUGCAGUACCAUUUAUGUCGGGACAAUAAACAGGGGCAAAAAAAAAUACUGAGAGCCUGCUGAGAAACCGGUUUCAAGACUUCUCCUGAAGUUCAUCAUCCUAUGUGACACACUUGCCGGUCACUUUGUACAAUGUAGAUUUGAAGUACAGUGGUGGAAAUUCAUUAAAUGUGAUAUUGAAAACAAAAAUCUGUGGUAUUAGUCAGUUUGUGCUACUGUAUAUUUAAACACAAGUCCUCAGUUAUAAUAUCCCUUUAUGAUUGUAAUAUGCCAUUAAUUCUCACACAUGCAUCUUUGAGUAAAAAUUUCCCUUCAGUUUGGUUGCUUUUUGUAUUGAAGUGCUUAAACUUUUUUUUGUAGUUUUAUUCAAAUACACAGGUCUUUAAUGUGUCCUUUCUGUAAACAUAUUUUAAAACCACUUCUGCACCUUUAGAGGGGAAAACGCUAACAAACAAAGAUGCUGAAUUUUCUUCCUCAAAUUGAGGAGGAUUUUGUUUUGGAUUACAACCAUUUAAUCAUAAAAAUCAACAUAUGGAUAACUCCAUAACAGACACAAGCUACCUAUUCACUGACUAAAAUGUUUUCAUUAUGUUUGUUUUUGUAUAGAAUACUGUAUUUAGGAUUGAUCCAUU